AGUUUGAAAGCCAAGUAAAGGUCUUUCCACAUUCCUUACACUCAUAGGGUUUCACACUGGUAUGAGUUCUUUGAUGUUGAGUAAGAGUUGGAUAAUUAUUAAAAACCUUCCCACAUU
rnacentral:antisense_RNA from 1 species